UGAAGCAUACUCUGUCAUACUUCUAA
rnacentral:piRNA from 1 species